AGUAAAGCGGCGUACGGGUGAGUAACACGUGGGUGAUCUGCCUUUUAGUGGGGAAUAACCCUGGGAAACCGGGGCUAAUACCGCAUAAUCCUGUAAAGGGAAAGCGAGCAAUCGCGCUGAAAGAGGAGCCCGCGGCCGAUUAGCUAGUUGGUGAGGUAACGGCUCACCAAGGCGGUGAUCGGUAGCCGGCCUGAGAGGGCACACGGCCACACUGGCACUGAAACACGGGCCAGACUCCUGCGGGAGGCAGCAGUGGGGAAUCUUGCACAAUGGAGGCAACUCUGAUGCAGCGACGCCGCGUGAGCGAUGAAGCCCCUCGGGGUGUAAAGCUCUUUCGGCAGGGACGAUAAUGACGGUACCUGAAGAAGAAGCUGCGGCUAACUACGUGCCAGCAGCCGCGGUAAUACGUAGGCAGCGAGCGUUGUUCGGAAUUACUGGGCGUAAAGAGUGUGUAGGCGGUGCUCUAAGUUCGGUGUGAAAUCUCCCGGCUUAACUGGGAGGGUGCGCCGGAAACUGGAGUGCUCGAACGUGGGAGAGGAAAGCGGAAUUCCUGGUGUAGCGGUGAAAUGCGUAGAUAUCAGGAGGAACACCUGCGGUGUAGACGGCUUUCUGGACCAUUGUUGACGCUGAGACACGAAAGCGUGGGUAGCAAACAGGAUUAGAUACCCUGGUAGUCCACGCCCUAAACGAUGCAUACUUGGUGUCGGCCAUUCAGUUGGUCGGUGCCGGAGCUAACGCGUUAAGUAUGCCGCCUGGGGAGUACGGUCGCAAGGCUGAAACUCAAAGGAAU
rnacentral:rRNA from 1 species